rnacentral:lncRNA from 10 species
CUCAGUGAUACUUGGUGAGCAUUGAAGCUGACCUCCUUCUAUUACCUGCAGGUCCCUGCACCAAGACCUUGGCUGACAAGAAAAACCUCCAUGCAAUGGUGAUGGGUAUCUCAUUCAACCCAGCAUUCGCUUUAUCUUUGCCAGAAAGUUCCAGUGAUGGUUUAUAAAUAAGACCCCCAAACUUUACUCUUUAUUUGGUAUAGUGCCAGUAAACAUACUAACUUAGAGCGUAGAAUAUUCUUGGUCUACAAUUAAAACCACAUUUAAAUUUAUUUGUUGAACAGUAGUCAUAUUUCAUACAUAAUGUAAUUGAGAAAUUACUUAAUAAACUUUUAAUUUGACUUUGGAAUUGUCUUGUUAGGUUCCUGAAUAUUCUAUUAGAAAAUGAACCACGAGUCAGUGAACAAGUCAGAAUUAAAGCAACAGUCUAAAUCUUUUUGUAGACUUUAGUAUAAAAUUAUCUAUAUAUACAUAUGUCUUCAUGCGUG